rfam:Dipodomys ordii contig_9525, whole genome shotgun sequence.
UAAGUGGCUUUUUUAAAAGCCAUAUUCAGAUUUGUAAUGAUUUGG